GCAGUGAUGGCUGAGUGGUUAAGGCAUUGGACUUGAAAUCCAAUGGGGUCUCCCCAUGCAAAUUCAAACCCUGCUCACUGUA